ACUCUUUUCUCUCUCCUUGCAUUUCAGAGGCGAUUUGUGUCCUCUCUCCCCUCUCUCACGUUUUUCACUCCUCGCUUCCCCAUCGUCGUCGGUUUUAGGGUUACAUUUCCUCGCCGAAUCGCGUCCAAAUCAGCGUUCAGAAAUUUGGGUUGAUUUGGAUCAUGAUGGUCGGAUUAGUGGUGCCGAAGCCGUCGCUUUUUUUCAAGGAUCUGGCUUGAAGAAAAAAGUUCUUGCCCAGGUUUUGCUCCUUUUCACUACUACCUUUUUCAGGUUUAAUAUUGAAUGUUUGAUAAGAUGUAAUUUCCAGGGCAUUUCUGUGAAUUGGGAUUAUUCGGCAUGAAUCCUACGAACACUAAAAUCAUGUUUCGAUCAACCAUAAAAUCAUCAGGAAGGCUCAAUUGAAAUUCAAAGUAAUUACGUCUUUUUUUUUUUUUUAAAUUUUAUGGGUUUUAUUUCAGUUUUAGGGUUUUAAUUCCAAUUCCAAUUUUAAUUUUUUAUUUCAGUAAUUGGAAGCAGGGGAAUAAAAUAUAAAUGAGUUCUUAUACUCCAAUUGAUUUAAUUCUCUUCCUGCUAAUUCCUGUGAAGACUGACUCCUCUUUCUGGACUUUGAGCUGAUUCCAAUUUAUUCUGAAAUAACAGCCACAUAGUUCAGUUUUAGGGUUUUUAUUCUGAUAUGGUAAUUUGUUGAUUUCUGCUCAGUUCUUCAUAAAGAGCUUCCUAUUCGAAUUAGCUUGCGCGCAAUUAAUUUCGGGCUCUUCAAUAAUCAAACGGAACAAAGCCGAGACAAGGGUGAAAUAUCAGCAAGUUGACAAAAAAUGUCUGCAUUACAUUUAGAACUGAAUAUUGUAGCCAACAACUCCAUCAAUUCCAUGGAAGUAGCCAACAAAUCCAUGGAAGUAGCCAACAACUCCAUCAAUUCCUCUCCAUCAAACCAAAGCUGGGAAUAUCAUCAACCAAAACAGGUGAGAAAGUUGGGACAUUUUCACUUGCAUAUGCAGCUCACAAGGCCGCAUCUCCUAUAACCUUUUCGCCUACAGUUGCCCUCACUCCAUUGUUGCUUCCUGGAUUUCAAGAAAGUAGAUAAAGAUAACUAAUCCCAUAAUAUAUGGCUACUCUGUAUAUGACUUUUCUUCCAUUUGUGUAAUACUAGAAUGUGUUAUUGGAUACGUAGUAGAAUCAACUAUGUCAUUUCAUUGUGAA